UAAAUUCCCAAGAAUUCAAACUUAGAUUUUUAGAGUCCAGCUUACUAUUUAUAAAUGAGGAAAGUAAGACAAAAAGUAAUUCAGUUUUUUUUUUUUUUUUUUUUUCCUAAGGACAUGGAACUUGAGCAGCAGAAACAGGACCGAAACCUGGCUCUUCCCUUAUGCCACAGUCUUUCUAUAGAGAAGUUAAGUAAGAGGGCUUUGGGUCAAGAUUGUGACUGGAUUCAAAUCCUAAAGUUUUCACUACAUUGUGUGCCCGUAGCCAAACUUCUUCAGCUUUUGCUAACUCCUAAAGCCACUACAGCAUUCCAACUGAUUCCAUCCAACAGUCCGGUGAUCCAGCUCUCUGUGAGAUUGCUAAUGACAGAAUCACCAUCUCCCAUGGCCACUCUUCAACCCCCUCCUGUGAUGGUUCUGGUCGCUUUGAUGCUUUGGCUAUUCUUUCCUUUUGAAACUUUCUCCUAAUUUGGCUUUUGUGACGCCGCACUCUCGCAGCCUAAUUCUAAUUAUUAAAUUGUUCCUUCUCAGCCCCCAUCGCUAGAUUUUCUUCUAACCACUUCUUAAAUAUUCGUGUUCUGGAUUCUACCCUCAGCCUAUUCUCCUCCCUUCUUUCUGGUUUUAACUGCAGUCCAUCAAGAAUGCCCAAAUCUGUAUAUCCAUCUCCAAACUUGAGAUCCAGUUUUAUAUUUUGAAUUGUUCACUUGGCAUUUCCACCUACUUUUCUUUUAAAUAACUCAAACUCUGUAAGUUCCAACUGAAAUUAUUGUCCAAAUGUCAGAAUUCUGAUUUUCGUCAUCUAUUUCCUGUCUCAAUUAGCAAUCUAUCCUUAGCCCAGUCAUCCAAGGUAGAUAUUUGUGAAAAAUUCUUUCUGUCAUUUUUCUCUCUCAAUCCCUACAUAAAUAAACCACCAUGUUUGUAAUUAGUACCAAUUAAAUAAUUGUCAAAUUACCC
rnacentral:lncRNA from 1 species